CACAUUACAAAGACUGUCAAAUAAGAUGUGACAAACCCAAUUAUCAGGCAGCCAUCAGAUCAAGCUAAAACCACUUGCAAAAAUAAAUGGCGGUGAGCUUUAAGUUAACUUUGCCAAGUGAUCUUUAAUUUUCCAGUCAUUAUCCAGUCACUUUUGUAACAACACUUUAAAUACAUGUAGAGCAAGACAAAAAUAUGAGACGACUUCUCUCAAGGACAUAGAACAUUAAAACACACAGAGAAAGAACAGUCUUCAAGGGCACAGUUUUCUACAGAACAAGUCUCCUCAUUUACUCAGUCCUUAGGAUACUCCAACCAACCUUAGGUUUCUUUUCAGGAAUUAAAAGAAGUGGUUUAAAAAAAAAUACCUGAAGACAGAAAGUGACUCAGGACUUGGCUGUUUUCCCAUUAAAGCCAGUAAGUUUUCCAUUGGCCUUAGUGGAAGUUGGAUCAGGCCCAUCAUCAUGUCCUCUUUUGAAAAGGAAAACAGGACUGGAGAUUAUGGUUUCAAUGGAAGGGAAAACUUUCAAGCAGAUAAGCACAAGCUGCACAGAGUUAUCACCGUUGUGCAGGAACCAGGAACUGUACUCCCGAGAUGCAAACCACAAGUUGAAGAAAACGAAGGAGGCAAAGAUAUGCGAGUCGUUAUUUUGGCCACCCUUUGUGCCAUUAAAAUCUCAUUUUCUGCCUAUUAGAAUGCCCUCUCGCUGCUUAGGCAGUGGUGAUAGUCAGUGAUUAGUGUGUAAUUGAGUAUAAUUGUCUUUUCACUUUUCAUUUGUGUCAUUCUGAGCUUCUCUCUGUUUUUCAAACCACUGAGAGCAAAAAAAGGGUAGAAAGAAGAUAAAGCUGUUAAAACUCUCACUCUCAGCCCUGAAGAGAUUUCUGAUUGUAAUUAUAGAUUGCAUCCCCUUUGUGACUUUUCUCAGAAUUUAGUAGACCGCACUCCCAAACACCUGAGUGAAGCUCACACUAAUAAAAGUGUGACUCUAUAUUUCAGCAAUAACAUCAACUACAGACAGAUGCCACAUGUAGGAAAUCUAACCAACCUCUUGACACUCAAUUAUCAAGGCAAUUUAUUAACAUGAUCUCCUAAGAAAAGCUCAUGCAAAUUAGAAAAACAAUUAUAGUAUUCAUGCAUUUUUAUAUUUCCAAAGAGCAGCAAUACUCCUAAUUUAUGUAUUUAUAACUCGAUUAUAGCUCAUCCCAAUGUGUACUGCUUAUCAGCUGGAACUCUCUCUCAAUAUAACUUCUUUGUGAUUUCUAGGCCAUUUGGUAAAACCUCUUUGUUUUCCUAAAGGGACCUUAGACUAGAAAAAGUUUAUUAGCCGACAACAUACCAGACAAAAAUCAGUGUUCCUGAACUUUACCUAUGUAUGGAUCUCAAGGAACAUAACUGCACACAACAAAUGCUUGACAAUGAAAGCAGGCUGACAAUGUGCAGGACACAGCCGCUCUCUUCCCCAGGACACCAGUAAAAAUUCAGCUCAGGUUAGUAGUGACUAGCAGUGGAAAAAUGUGGGGGACUGCGAAAUUUUCCGAGUCAGAUUUUGGUGGAAAAAAAUACCUCCCACUGAUUUGAGUCUAAAUGUGAUAUUACUGAAAAUCACCAACAACGUGGUUAAAAAGUCUUAAAUUUGUCCCACUUUGAGUCAUUAUCCCAAAUGAGCCAAGCUUUAGGGAAGGGCAAGAAAAGAAUGGAGACUGGUUUUAUGAAAUCUUGUCAGUCAGGUUUUGCCUUUAAAAGAUGAAAAAUCAGGAGUGGUCUAGAUCUAAAUAUAAUUUUUCCUGCCAAAUCACCAAUGUUCACAGGACUUCUGAUAAGACUGUGACUCAUUUCUAUUAACUGAAAUGUGUUACCAUCUAGUGGCUAUUCAGUUCAUGUAUGAAAUGAGUUCAUGAUUUCAGCCCAUUAUGUACUGGAUUUCAGCCCAUUACUUACAAAAAAUGCCAAAUUUCUUUGUCCAUCAUCCAGCCCCACGUUGGUGGACCCUCAUGGUGAGAGUGGUGAGGAAUGGUGGGAUACUUAGCACAACCCUUGUGAAUGCUGUACCUGCUCCAUGUGUAAAGAAGAUCAGUCUACAGGCUGGUGCUGUCUGUCUGGUACUAUUCACUGGCAAUCAAAUCUAAUCCAGCAAAUUAAAUCAGAAUACUCACAUGCUUAAUGUAAACAGAUUUGUCAGAGUUUUGCUAGACUGAAGCCUGAAUUUACCCACUGCAUUUUUUUUAAAUUGAAGCAUAAAAUAAACAUACAUAGGAAACCAUUCAU